UUAUAUUCGUAAUGCGUUAGGGAUUGAAGCGACAUCCUUUUUAUUUAUCAAAAUAAAAAGAUACAGCGAAAAGCCCGACGUGAG
rnacentral:sRNA from 1 species